UAUAUAUAUAUAUAUAUAUAUAUAUAUAUAUAUAUAUAUAUAUAUAUGUAUAUGUAUAUGUAUAUAUGUGUGUGUGUGUGUGUGUGAAAAUACAUUUCUUUUAAAUGUAUAGCACAGUAAUGAAGGCAGCAAAAUGUGGUAGAUGGGACAGAACAAGAAAGACUUAAUAAUCUUUCAUUGUGCUAAUGUAUUAUAAUACGAAAGGGUAUGGCUCCUAUACAGUGUGCAGUGCUUAUACACAACCAGUGCGCAGAAUGAUGCACUUGAAGCAACACAGAGUCACAGCGUGUAGCAUUACUCAUAGAAAUGUUCAAAUUGCCAAGGGAAGAGAUAUUGAUGUUGUGUAUUAUAUGUGUGCAAUAUUUUGAGCCUUUCCUUUUAACAGUUUUAAAUCUCAGUUAUUGUGUGCUCUUGAAGAGAGUUUCAUUGUUUUGACUAUAGUAACUAGGGCUGGGAUGAUACGCUAAUCUGCCAAUUCAAUACUAUCCAGAUACUUGUGUGCCGAUUCAAUAUAUAUUUAUAAUUGUAUAUAUAAUUGAGUAUUGUGAUUAUAGUUAUAUAACUAUUGCAAUUCGUGACUUAUCCAAAUCAUCUAUAAAAUUAUUUGUUUGUUUCUGUGAUUUGAGGGAAAGAUUAAAAACAAGGAGGUCUGGGAACAACUGAAGGGAACUGACAGCAGUGAGGGAAGGAAGUAAUCACCAGAAUCUGCCAAAGAAGGAUGUUGACAGUGCAGGCCCAGGAUGAAGAAGAGGAGGAAGAACACGUUUAACAAUUUUCUCAUAAGCUUGCCAUGUGUUAUAAUAAAAGCAAUGAACAUGACUGCAAUAAUAUGCUAAAUGUUAUUAAAAGAUUCCAGUUUGCAAGAAGUCUGAGUGUCUGACUCUACACUAGAGGAACUCUUGUCUGAAGAAGAUCAGGUGCUGAGAAGAAGCCUUGUUCUACAGCAAAACACUGCAUCCUGUCCUUCCCUCAGAAGAGCCUGUCUUCUGCUGCUGGGGUGGGACAAAUAAUACAGGAGAGGUGCUAGAAAUCUCUGUAUUGUUCAUUUUUCAUAUCUUUACGCUUUAUGAAUGUUUUUUUUCUGAGAAGCUCAAGAAUUAUGGUUCUUUGGUAAUUGCUAUAUUGUUUAGGUUUAUCCUCUGACAGUGAGCACAGAGCCCUGAUCAUGACAUGCAAGAAAACGAAUAAAAAAUAAUGUCCAUAAUUUACUAAUUCGUUCCCCCAAUGUACUAAAACGUGCAUGAUUACUUUUACAUUUCAUCGAUUUGCUAAAUCGUAUGAACAAUUUACUAAUUCGUUUUCUUGAUGUAUAAAUCGUGUACAUGAUUUAGCAAAUCGAGGGAAUGAAAUAGAAAAUUGUGCGCAGGAAUUAGCCUACAUUUUUUCCUGCAUGCCGUGUAAUUAAAGCACAUCACCACCAGACAUUUAUACCAGGAGCUUCAUAUACGACGCGCACAAAACAGUUUUACUUUGUGCAGUAUCUGCUGAAUUGUUUCAUAUCUAUGUAUCAUGUAUUUUUUGUUGCACCAAAUUAUGUAGAGUUGUAUCAAUAAGUGUACUGAUAAUUAUUUAUAAUUUUCACUGAUAACGUCAUUAACUAUCCCCAUCCUUAAUAAGACAAACAUUUUCUAUUGUUUAUAUUGUGUAAUCUAUGAAUUGAUGUGUUCAGUUUUCUGUGCUCAUGACUUAGAAACACUUUGCAUGGUUAAAGAACAGGUGCAAUGUUCAAAAUGUUUUGGCUUAGUAUUUGUAGAAAGUAGUGCUGAAUAAAUGUUGAUUUGUGAAUGAAUGCAGUGUGUUUUUGUCUAUUUUAUAUUAGAAUGUAAUGUUUUUGUAU